rnacentral:lncRNA from 1 species
AUGCGAAGGGAAAUAUAUCUAUUUCUUUUAGGUUUUAUAUUUAUUUUUUCUGGAAUUAACCGAGGAGGGUUGGAGCUUUCCAGAAUUCCCGGGAAGUUCAGCGUGGCUCCGUCGGGAGAGGAGCAGGAAUUCUGUGCAGCCACCGUGAAUGUUUCUCAGCUAAAUCAAACUGACAAAUCAGCAGAUGCUGAGGAGCUCACAGCAAAUGGACUGCGUUUCUUUUUUCAUAUGGAGAAGGAGGGUCCAGAUGUUCCAGAUGUGCUGCCAGAAAAACAUCCUGAGUGCCCCACAGCCACCGAUGCCCACACCAGGAGUUGUAGGGGACACAGGAUCCUCACUGCUCCAGGGGACAUCUGA